AAGUGAUGUUGAUAUCUCAAGCAUUGGUGACCUAUGGACACUUGCUGUUGUUAUUUUGGUCAAUAUACAUCUAGCAAUGGAUGUGAUCCGUUGGUCUUGGAUUACUCAUGCUGCAAUUUGGGGUUCUAUAGUAGCCACCUUCAUUUGUGUCAUGGUCAUCGACACUCUGACAUUUCUACCUGGAUACUGGUAAGAAUAGCCACUUUCAUUUGUGUCAUGGUCAUCGACACUCUGACAUUUCUACCUGGAUACUGGUAAGAUCACUCUGCUGGUUUCAAAUAUUCUUCACAUCUUUCCAGUUCAAGUAGGAAACUUUUAGGAUUCUCUUGAUUUAUGCUGACCAACUUAUCAAGUCAGAGAAGUAGAGACUGAUUUGCAUGUAAAAUCAUUUUUGCAGGGC
rnacentral:lncRNA from 1 species